rnacentral:rRNA from 1 species
CCUACGUGAGGCAGCAGUGGGGAAUAUUGGACAAUGGGGGGAACCCUGAUCCAGCGACGCCGCGUGAGUGAAGAAGUAUUUCGGUAUGUAAAGCUCUAUCAGCAGGGAAGAAAGAAAUGACGGUACCUGACUAAGAAGCCCCGGCCAACUACGUGCCAGCAGCCGCGGUAAUACGUAGGGGGCAAGCGUUAUCCGGAUUUACUGGGUGUAAAGGGAGCGUAGACGGCGAUGCAAGUCUGAAGUGAAAGGCGGGGGCCCAACCCCCGGACUGCUUUGGAAACUGUAUGGCUGGAGUGCAGGAGAGGUAAGUGGAAUUCCUAGUGUAGCGGUGAAAUGCGUAGAUAUUAGGAGGAACACCAGUGGCGAAGGCGGCUUACUGGACUGUAACUGACGUUGAGGCUCGAAAGCGUGGGGAGCAAACAGGAUUAGAUACCCCAGUAGUC